GCUAUGGUGGAGGCUGUUUGCAUCCUCUGCCAUGGGCUUGCAGAAGACACAUCUGCCUUCUGUUGAAGACACCACAGCAGAAAAGAGACUUGAAGACAUGUUAUAAAUAGAUGGCAUGGCCUCAGAGGGCUUCUUCCAUGCAGAAGAGGAUACCAUGGAGGAAGGUGUUCUGGAGGGAAAGGAGACAAUAAGGCUUCAGGAAAUCUAUGGUUUCAAAUUCUUCCAUGAUGGCUGCCGACAUCAACCUCUGAUAGGAGGGGAAGGACGAGAAGGAAGAAUCUCACAAAAUCACAUGGCUUAGUUAGGG